CCCCCGUACUCUUACUUAUUAGAAACGACAGUAAGGCUUCGGCUUUAUCGUCUUUCUAAUAUGUAAGAAGGUCGCAUGCACAAGACCCGAAGCCGGGUGAUCUAACCAUGGCCAGGUUGAACCUUGUAGAAAUACAAGGGGAGGACCGAACCCGUAAGUCGUGCAACACUUUGGGAUGAGCUGUGGUUAGCGGAGAAAUUCCAAUCGAACUCGGCAAUAGCUGGUUCUCCUCGAAAUAGCUUUAGGGCUAGCCUCGAGCGCUGAACGUAGGGGGUAGAGCACUGAAUGGGAACGGGCCGCAAGGUACCUUUCUCAACCAAACUCCGAAUACCUACGCGUGCAGCUCGGGAGUCAGACUAUGGGCGCUAAGGUCCAUUAGUCUAAAGGGAAACAGCCCAGAUCGCCAUCUAAGGUCCCUAAAUAUAUGCUAAGUGUAAAAGGUGGUGUCGUGACUGCGACAACUAGGAGGUUGGCUUAGAAGCAGCCAUCCUUUAAAGAUAGCGUAAUAGCUCACUAGUCUAGUCGUCUCGCGCCGAAAAUGUACCGGGGCUAAGCAUAUUACCGAAGAUGCGGGCUUGCCACGCAAGUGGUGAGCGGUAGAGGAGCAUUCCAAGACCGCUGAAGUCGCAACGUGAGUUGUGGUGGAGGGCUUGGAAGAGAGAAUGUUGGCAUAAGUAGCACAAAGGCGGGUGAAAACCCCGCCCACCGAAAAUCUAAGGGUUCCUGGGCAACGCAAAUCGACCCAGGGUGAGUCGGUCCUAAGGCGAGGCUGCUGUAGUGGCAGCGUAGUCGAUGGAUGAGCUGGUUAAUAUUCCAGCACUACUGUAAUUUUCCGAUGGGGGGACAAAGUUUUGAGGUUUGAGCGUCUCUAUGGUAUGGACGUCGCUGGCCGUUAGGAUAGAUCUAGGCAAAUCCGGAUCAAUAUUCCGAGCGGUUGGGGGAAGACAAAGCCUUCGGGUAGCGUCAAUUCAAGCUGAAAGAUUUUCAAGAAAAACCUCUAGGGCUAAGGUUACAGUAACCGUACCGUAAACCGACACAGGUAGAUGAGGCGAGGAGCCUCAGGUGUACGAGAGAACCCUCGUUAAGGAACUCGGCAAAAUAGCGGUCGUAAGUUAGCAAUAAGACCUGCCUGGAGCAAUCCGGGCCGCAGCGAAAGAUUCCAAGUGACUGUUUAGCAAAAACACAGCUCCCUGCUAACUCGCAAGAGGAUGUAUAGGGGGUGAUGCCUGGCCAGUGUCCGAACGUUAAGAGGAGAGGUCAUUUUCCUUCGGGAAGAGAAGCUUUGAAUUGAAGCGCGGAUGAACGCCGGCCGUAACUAUAACGGUCCUAAGGUAGCGAAAUUCCUUGUCGGGUAAGUUCC
rnacentral:rRNA from 1 species